CGAAUGUGAAUUGGUUGCUAUUUGUUUAUGAAAAUUUUUGACAAAGAUAAUUAGAGAAAAAACAUAUACGGAAACAGAAAUUGAAGUACUUUAUUGGAAAUAAACAUAAACUGUACUAUUCGAACUACAUAGCACGGCUUUAUAACCUAAAUAAUGGUUAUCAUUUCAGGAGUCAAUUAUUAGUUUUCUGUGGAUUCUAGAGCUUCUUUAGAAAUUAUUAGUCGAGCGGUGUUCGGAUACAUACAGCGCUUUAACAGAAUCCGAAGUGUUAGUUGUGUUUGCAGUCCUCUUGUACUGUGGAAAAUUAAAUCAGCUGAAGUUAGACGUGACAUAGCUGCUCUUUGAGCAGCAGGCUCCAUCGUUCUGACACUACUUAUCCCAGGAGAAUGGCAUUUCAGAUCGACAUAUAGAAACUGUGCAGAAGUGGGCUUAAUCGACCUUAAAUCAUCUGUAUGGCAUAUGCUUGACCUUGUCAAGUACAUAAUAUGACAGACACUGUCUAACCGAAAGAAAGACCUAAAACGUGACAAGAACGAUAACUCCCACACAGCCUGCAGCAUCAGCAACGUAUCGUGCUUAUACGACGACACUUUGGUCUGAGAUAAAUCAGUACUUACUCGGGGUAGUUCCUCACUGUUUUGAGUCUUGUUUGCAGUAUGGCACAUGUUCGGUAGUCCGACGUGUCCACCGCACGCCGCCGUGUGGGCGGAAGCCGGGGUUUGUUUUCAUCCUCCUCGUUAACCUGCUCCAGGUGUGAAAACAUGGACGGUGAGGCGGCAGGCGUUGCUAUUGAGGCGCGGCGGCGCU